AAACUGCUACGUCAUCAUUACAAAUGUGUAAUUGCAAAUAUAUUUAAAUGCAUGACAUAAAAGUUUCAAUAGAAAUGGCAUUAAAGUAUGUUAGUUUAUUAUAAAUAAUUGUCAGUACAUUCAGCAGUACUUCAACCAUAUUUCAAAGACAAUAGUUGAAAUUAUGAAAUGACAUAUGAAGAAGUGGGUUAAGAAACACUAUAAUUCAGCUAAUUGCAUUUAAUAUCAAUCUAUUCCACAUUUUUUUUUCCAUUCAAGUGUCUGAAACAUUACAUUCAUUAUAUUCAGUUUGCACUCAAGUAUAUUCUUUUAAAGUAUAUUAUUUCCAUAUAGCAUUUACUCUUUUUAAAAGUAUGCUAAAGUGUACUUCUCUUCCACAAGGGCAAAAUACAGGUGCUUCUGGGGAUUUUAGACACAGUUCACCAGUGGAAGAAACACAUUUUUCAAGAAAGGCAGAGACUUGACUCCUGUCUUUCUUUUUUCUACACUUUCAGACUGAAUCUUAUUACUUUUGAAUGAAUACUGAUGUUAAUGGUGAGGUCUGACCUUGCUGGGUUUGUUAAAGAGGCAGGACCCUCCUCCCUUCACCAGGAACUCUUUAAAAUCGGUGAUACUGCACUUAGAGAAAGUCAGCGGGUGCUGGACCCUGAGAAGAGAGACAAAUGUAGGGAGAAAGCUUUCAUAACUUUAAAUAAAUUAUGGCAUAGAUUUUUUUUUUCCUAGGGAUACAAUCAGCAGAUUCUGAGCCAAACUCUGGGCCAGCAGUGGUGCCAUCAUCCACGUAGAGCCAACAGACAUCAAGCACAUGGGAAUAAAGCAGCUAUGUUUCCUGAACCCUCCCCCAUCUGCCAUUGGUCAGACGAAUAAGCAGUCCCCAUUGAGAACAGCCCGUCAGCGUCUCUACUUCCUGGGGAGACUAAAGAGGUUUGGCAUCUCCUCUAACAUCAUGUCAAAUUUCUACUGCUGCACUAUAGAGAGCAUUCUGACCGGCUGCAUCACUGUAUGGUACGGCAACUGCUCUUCUUUGGACCGCAAAGCUCUUCAGCGAGUGGUGAGAAUAGCAGAGCUCAUCAUUGGACAUAAACUCCUAGCCUUACAGGAUAUCUAUCAGACUCGCUGCUUGAGAAAGGCUCGCAGCUUAACACUGUCUACCUUUAUUGUAUCUGUUACUGCCACUUAUUUGUAUAUAAUGCUCUGUCUGUGUCUUUUCUGCCUAUGGGCAUUGAAGUCACUCAAAAAUCUCUACACGUACGUCUAUGUCUUUUAUGUCUUGUUAUUGUCACUGUAUGUCUGAGCCUCGUCACAAGCAUUUCAAUGCCCAGUUUUCCCCAGUGUUAACUAUGCAAAUGAUAAAUAAAUGCCUCUUGACUUGACUCUUGACUCUUGAC
ensembl:lncRNA